UAACCGACAGGCCGCAACCUGUCAGGAUUGGUAAUAGGACUUCAGUCAGCAUCAUCGCCAACACUGGCACCCCUCAGGGAUGUGUCCUCAGCCCCAUCCUCUACACCCUGUUCACCCAUGACUGUCACCCCCC